ensembl:snoRNA
CUGCAGACUGUUCAGCGAGGCUGGGUCCAAUCUGGCUCUGUCCUUUCCUGUGUGUCUGCUAGAGAAACCUGAGGUGGUUUGAAGCCUCAGCUGUCAUCUUUAUAGCGAGGCCAUAGAAACCUCAGACAUGC